UACGUAGGUGACAAGCGUUGUCCGGAUUUACUGGGCGUAAAGCGCGCGCAGGCGGUCGAUCAAGUCGAGUGUGAAAGCCCCCGGCUCAACUGGGGAGGGUCACUCGAUACUGAUCGACUUGAAGGCAGGAGAGGGAAGCGGAAUUCCCGGUGUAGUGGUGAAAUGCGUAGAUAUCGGGAGGAACACCAGUGGCGAAGGCGGCUUUCUGGCCUGUUCUUGACGCUGAGGCGCGAAAGCUAGGGUAGCAAACGGG
rnacentral:rRNA from 1 species